rnacentral:rRNA from 1 species
AGAGGAUGAACAGCCACACUGGAACUGAGACACGGUCCAGACUCCUACGGGAGGCAGCAGUGGGGAAUCUUGCGCAAUGGGCGAAAGCCUGACGCAGCGACGCCGCGUGAGCGAUGAAGACCUUCGGGUUGUAAAGCUCUGUGGGGAGGAAAGAAUAAGGUUUGGCUAAUAUCCAAACUGAUGACGGUACCUCCUUAGCAAGCACCGGCUAACUCUGUGCCAGCAGCCGCGGUAAGACAGAGGGUGCAAACGUUGUUCGGAAUUACUGGGCGUAAAGCGCGUGUAGGCGGCCCCGCAAGUCGGAUGUGAAAUCCCACGGCUCAACCGUGGAAGUGCAUUCGAAACUGCGAGGCUAGAGUCCUGGAGAGGAAGGUGGAAUGCUUGGUGUAGAGGUGAAAUUCGUAGAUAUCAAGCGGAACACCGGUGGCGAAGGCGGCCUUCUGGACAGUGACUGACGCUGAGACGCGAAAGCGUGGGGAGCAAACAGGAUUAGAUACCCUGGUAGUCCACGCCGUAAACGAUGAGUGCUAGGUGUCACGGGCUUUGACCCUCGUGGUGCCGAAGCUAACGCGUUAAGCACUCCGCCUGGGGAGUACGGCCGCAAGGCUAAAACUCAAAGGAAUUGACGG